rnacentral:rRNA from 1 species
GGGAAGUACGCUCGCAAGAGUGAAACUCAAAGGAAUGGACGGGGACCCGAACAAGUAGCGGAGCAUGUGGUUUAAUUCGAAGCAACGCGAAGAACCUUACCUAAGCUUGACAUCCCAAUGACAUCUCCUUAAUCGG